UGGGGAAUUUUGCACAAUGGGGGAAACCCUGAUGCAGCGACGCCGCGUGAUUUAGAAGGCCUUCGGGUUGUAAAAAUCUUUUCUAUGGGAAGAAAAUGACAGUACCAUAGGAAUAAGGACCGGCUAAUUACGUGCCAGCAGCCGCGGUAAUACGUAAGGUCCGAGCGUUGUCCGGAAUCAUUGGGCGUAAAGGGUACGUAGGCGGGUAAGCAAGUUAGAAGUGAAAUCCUGUAGCUCAACUACAGUAAGCUUUUAAAACUGCUCAUCUUGAGAUAUGGAAGGGAAAGUGGAAUUCCUAGUGUAGCGGUGAAAUGCGCAGAUAUUAGGGAGAAUACCGGUGGCGAAGGCGACUCUCUGGUCUGUAACUGGCGCUGGGGCUCGAAAGCGUGGGUAGCAAACAGG
rnacentral:rRNA from 1 species